UNCCCGGUUGAUCCUGCCGGACCUGACUGCUAUCGGAUUGAUACUAAGCCAUGCGAGUCAUUGUAGCAAUACAAGGCAGACGGCUCAGUAACGCGUAGUCAACCUACCCUAUGGACGGGAAUAACCUCGGGAAACUGAGUAUAAUGCCCGAUAGAACAUUAUACCUGGAAUGGUUUAUGUUCCAAAUGAUUUAUCGCCGUAGGAUGGGACUGCGGCCUAUCAGUUUGUUGGUGAGGUAAUGGCCCACCAAGACUAUUACAGGUACGGGCUCUGAGAGGAGAAGCCCGGAGAUGGGUACUGAAACACGGACCCAGGCCCUAUGGGGCGCAGCAGGCGAGAAAACUUUGCAAUGUGCGAAAGCACGACAAGGUUAAUCCGAGUGAUUCCUGCUAAAGGAAUCUUUUGUUAGUCAUAAAACCACUAUUGAAUAAGGGGUGGGCAAGUUCUGGUGUCAGCCGCCGCGGUAAAACCAGCACCUCAAGUGGUCAGGAUGAUUAUUGGGCCUAAAGCAUCCGUAGCCGGCUCUGUUAGUUUUCGGUUAAAUCCAUAUGCUCAACAUAUGGGGCCGCCGGGAAUACUACAAAGCUAGGGAGUGGGAGAGGUAGACGGUACUCCGUAGGAAGGGGUAAAAUCCUUUGAUCUAUGGAUGACCACCAGUGGCGAAGGCGGUCUACCAGAACACGUUCGACGGUGAGGGAUGAAAGCUGGGGGAGCAAACCGGAUUAGAUACCCGGGUAGUCCCAGCUGUAAACUAUGCAAACUCAGUGAUGCAUUGGCUUGUGGCCAGUGCAGUGCCGCAGAGAAGUCGUUAAGUUUGCCGCCUGGGAAGUACGUACGCAAGUAUGAAACUUAAAGGAAUUGGCGGGGGAGCACCACAAGGGGUGAAGCCUGCGGUUCAAUUGGAGUCAACGCCGG
rnacentral:rRNA from 1 species